rnacentral:rRNA from 1 species
GAUGAACGCUGGCGGCGUGCCUAAUACAUGCAAGUCGAGCGAAGCGGGGACGGGUGAGUAACACGUGGAUAACCUCCUAUAAGACUGGGAUAACUUCGGGAAACCGGAGCUAAACCGGAUGCUUAUAGUUGGAUUCCCGCUGCAUUAGGUGGUUGUUAAGUUAACGGCUUACCAAGGCGAGGAUGCAUAGCCGACCUGAGAGGGGGAUCGGCCAAACUGGAACUGGGACAGGGUCCAGACUCCGACGUGAGGGAGCAGUGGGGAAUGUUGCGCAAUGGGCGAAAGCCUGACGGAGCAACGCCGCGUGAGUGAUGAAGGUCUUCGGUGCGUAAAACUCUGUUAUUAGGGAAGCGGUACCUAAUCAGAAAGCCACGGCUAACUACGUGCCAGCCGCCGCGGUAAUUC